rnacentral:rRNA from 1 species
CCUACGGGAGGCAGCAGUGAGGAAUAUUGGUCAAUGGGCGCGAGCCUGAACCAGCCAAGUCGCGUGAGGGAAGAAGGCACUACGGAUUGUAAACUUCUUUUAUCAAGGAAUAAAGGGAGGCACGUGUGCCUGUUUGAAUGUACCUUAUGAAUAAGCAUCGGCUAACUCCGUGCCAGCAGCCGCGGUAAUACGGAGGAUGCGAGCGUUAUCCGGAUUUAUUGGGUUUAAAGGGUGCGUAGGUGGGUUUUUAAGUCAGCGGUGAAAGUUUGUGGCUCAACCCUAAAAUUGCCGUUGAAACUGGCAGACUUGAGUGCGGUAGAGGUAGGCGGAAUGCGUGGUGUAGCGGUGAAAUGCUUAGAUAUCACGAAGAACUCCGAUUGCGAAGGCAGCUUACUAAGCCACCACUGACACUGAUGCACGAAAGCGUGGGUAUCAAACAGGAUUAGAUACCCGGGUAGUC